rnacentral:rRNA from 1 species
GCGAACGCUGGCGGCAGGCUUAACACAUGCAAGUCGAGCGGGCCCCUCGGGGUCAGCGGCGGACGGGUGAGUAACGCGUGGGAACGUGCCUUCUGGUUCGGAAUAACUCAGGGAAACUUGAGCUAAUACCGGAUACGCCCUUUUGGGGAAAGGUUUACUGCCGGAAGAUCGGCCCGCGUCUGAUUAGCUAGUUGGUGGGGUAACGGCCUACCAAGGCGACGAUCAGUAGCUGGUCUGAGAGGAUGAUCAGCCACACUGGGACUGAGACACGGCCCAGACUCCUACGGGAGGCAGCAGUGGGGAAUAUUGGACAAUGGGCGCAAGCCUGAUCCAGCCAUGCCGCGUGAGUGAUGAAGGCCUUAGGGUUGUAAAGCUCUUUUAUCCGGGACGAUAAUGACGGUACCGGAGGAAUAAGCCCCGGCUAACUUCGUA